GGAAGGUUGGCAGAGUGGUAAUGCACCGGACUCGAAAUCCGGCGAACCGGCUAUACCGGCGCGCAGGUUCAAAUCCUGUACCUUCCU
rnacentral:tRNA from 1 species